rnacentral:misc_RNA from 1 species
AAGUCGUAACAAGGUUUCCGAUAGGUGGAACCGUGCGGAAGGAUCAUUACCAAAGAAGGAACGAAAGCAACUCUAGGAGGAGGCGACCUGACGGACGUCUUGAACCCUGUUGGGACCACCCUAUACCUGCGAAAACGCCACCGUCCUAGCGGUGGCGGACGAUGAAUCAGGCACGGUGGCCCGUUUACCUUCACAUAAUUCCCUGCGUACCACUUCCACGUUGCUUCCCCGCAAUCCUCACUCAUUGGUGGACGCGGGGGGAGGUCUCCAACAAAACGCACCUGCACUCAACAGCAGUCAGACGACCAAUGACAAAAUCAUUAAAAA